UACGUAGGUGACAAGCGUUGUCCGGAUUUACUGGGCGUAAAGAGCGCGCAGGCGGUCGAUCAAGUCGAGUGUGAAAUCCCCGGGCUCAACCUGGGACCUGCAUUUGUGACUGCAUCGCUGGAGUGCGGCAGAGGGGGAUGGAAUUCCGCGUGUAGCAGUGAAAUGCGUAGAUAUGCGGAGGAACACCGAUGGCGAAGGCAAUCCCCUGGGCCUGCACUGACGCUCAUGCACGAAAGCGUGGGGAGCAAACAGG
rnacentral:rRNA from 1 species